rnacentral:rRNA from 1 species
AACGAACGCUGGCAGCGUGGAUUAGGCAUGCAAGUCGAACGGGAUCCGGAAGGUAGCAAUACCGGCCGGUGAGAGUGGCGGAAGGGCGAGGAGCACGUGGACAACCUGUCCCGUGGGUGGGGAUACCGUCCCGAAAGGGGCGUUAAUACCGAAUGGGGCCCCGGACCGCAUGGUCCGGCGGCCAAAGGCCGGGACCGCAAGGCCCGCCCCCCCGGGAGGGGUCCGCGCACCAUCAGCUAGACGGCGGGGUAACGGCCCACCGUGGCUUACGGUUAGCUGGUCUGAGAGGACGACCAGCCGCACUGGGACUGAGACACUGCCCAGACUCCUACGGGAGGCUGCAGUCGAGGAUCAUUCGCAAUGGGCGAAAGCCUGACGAUGCGACGCUGCGUGGAGGAUGAAGGCCCUCGGGUCGUAAACUCCUGUCAUGGGGGGCGAGGCGGAGGCGGUUAACGGCCGCCCGAGUUGACGGUACCCCAAGAGGAAGCCACGGCUAACUCUGUG